rnacentral:rRNA from 1 species
UACGGAGGGGGCUAGCGUUGUUCGGAAUUACUGGGCGUAAAGCGCGCGUAGGCGGACCUGCAAGUCGGGGGUGAAAGCCCGAGGCUCAACCUCGGAACUGCCUUCGAUACUGCGGGUCUCGAGUCCGGGAGAGGUGAGUGGAAUUCCUAGUGUAGAGGUGAAAUUCGUAGAUAUUAGGAAGAACACCAGUGGCGAAGGCGGCUCACUGGCCCGGUACUGACGCUGAGGCGCGAAAGCGUGGGAGCAAACGGG